AUGCAGUCGACGAUGACCUGGUGCUUGCACUGGUGAUUAGUGGCGAACGGGUGAGUAACACGUGAGUAACCUGCCCUUAACUCUGGGAUAAGCCUGGGAAACUGGGUCUAAUACCGGAUAUGACUCCUCAUCGCAUGGUGGGGGGUGGAAAGCUUUAUUGUGGUUUUGGAUGGACUCGCGGCCUAUCAGCUUGUUGGUGAGGUAAUGGCUCACCAAGGCGACGACGGGUAGCCGGCCUGAGAGGGUGACCGGCCACACUGGGACUGAGACACGGCCCAGACUCCUACGGGAGGCAGCAGUGGGGAAUAUUGCACAAUGGGCGAAAGCCUGAUGCAGCGACGCCGCGUGAGGGAUGACGGCCUUCGGGUUGUAAACCUCUUUCAGUAGGGAAGAAGCGAAAGUGACGGUACCUGCAGAAGAAGCGCCGGCUAAYUACGUGCCAGCAGCCGCGGUAAUACGUAGGGCGCAAGCGUUAUCCGGAAUUAUUGGGCGUAAAGAGCUCGUAGGCGGUUUGUCGCGUCUGCCGUGAAAGUCCGGGGCUCAACUCCGGAUCUGCGGUGGGUACGGGCAGACUAGAGUGAUGUAGGGGNAGACUGGAAUUNCCUGGUGUAGCGGUGAAAUGCGCAGAUAUCAGGAGGAACACCGAUGGCGAAGGCAGGUCUCUGGGCAUUAACUGACGCUGAGGAGCGAAAGCAUGGGGAGCGAACAGGAUUAGAUACCCUGGUAGUCCAUGCCGUAAACGUUGGGCACUAGGUGUGGGGGACAUUCCACGUUUUNCCGCGCCGUAGCUAACGCAUUAAGUGCCCCGCCUGGGGAGUACGGCCGCAAGGCUAAAACUCAAAGGAAUUNGACGGGGGNCCCGCACAASCGGCGGARNCAUGCGGANUUAAUUNCGAUGCAACGCNGAAGAACCUUNACCAAGGCUUGACAUGAACCNGGAAAUGCCUGGAAACANGGUGCCCCSCNUUGCGGUCGGUUUACANGGUGGUGCAUGGUUKUCSUCAGCUCGUGUCGUGAGAUGUUGGGUUAAGUCCCGCAACGAGCGCAACCCUCGUUCUAUGUUGCCAGCGCGUUAUGGCGGGGACUCAUAGGAGACUGCCGGGGUCAACUCGGAGGAAGGUGGGGACGACGUCAAAUCAUCAUGCCCCUUAUGUCUUGGGCUUCACGCAUGCUACAAUGGCCGGUACAAAGGGUUGCGAUACUGUGAGGUGGAGCUAAUCCCAAAAAGCCGGUCUCAGUUCGGAUUGGGGUCUGCAACUCGACCCCAUGAAGUCGGAGUCGCUAGUAAUCGCAGAUCAGCAACGCUGCGGUGAAUACGUUCCCGGGCCUUGUACACACCGCCCGUCAAGUCACGAAAGUUGGUAACACCCGAAGCCGGUGGCCUAACCCCUG
rnacentral:rRNA from 1 species